rnacentral:lncRNA from 1 species
UGCCGUCACAAAUGCUGAAAUUUGUCGUUCUUAUAUCUGUUGCAGCUAUGCUUUCCCUGUUGCUCUGCAUCUGAGAGAGUUAUUUAUUGCAUUGCAAAGUUUGUGUUUGCUGUCUGUACUUCUAUUCUCAAGCCAUCGGGAAGGAUUUUCAAUAAGGUACUUGAAUGUACUUGGAGGAAAUGAGUGAAGAGAUGUGAUCCAUCUUCUUUUACAGAAACAUAAGUGAGAGGAUUUGAUUGGGUCCACAGAGAGAUCAAAUAUGAAAAAGGCAAUAAAGGGAGAACAAUUGGCUGAAGCUGAAUGAGU